UUAUUGGAGAGUUUGAUCGUAGCUCAGUACAAACGCUAGAAAUUCACAUAACACAUGCAAGUCAACUUGUAGUUUAGCAAAGUUUAAGUAAGUGGCGAAUUGGUGAGGUAGAUGAGAGUCACUGUUAGGUGUAUUUAGGAAAACUGAUCAAAGAUUAGGGAAUAACAUCAGGAAACUGAAGCUAAGACUCCAUAAGUGAAUUUAAUCGUCAACCGUAUUUUUGACCGAUGCAUAAACUAAGUUCGAAUUAACUUUUAAAAUAAGUAACAAAUGUUAACAAGUAAUGAUUUAAAAUUGAUUUGAGAGGAUGCUAAUCACAUUGGUAUUGAGAUACAGUCCAGACUUUUGCGGAAGGCAGCAGUGAGGAAUUUUCCGCAAUGGACUUAAAGUUUGACGGAGUGAAAUUUUAUGUUAGAGGAAAGCUCAUGGGUUGUAAAUAUCUUUUUUAGGUGGAGAUAUUGUUUAAAUUUGACGGUAUCCUAAGAAUCAGUAUCGGCUAACUCUGUGCCAGCAGCCGCGGUAAUACAGAGGAUGUGAGCGUUGUUCGGAUUGAUUGGGCGUAAAGCGUUUGUAGGUGACUUUCAAAAUUUUUUGUCAAAAAUUAAAACUUAACUUGGAUUCUGUAUUAAAAACUCGGAGGCUUGAAAGAAAUUUAAGUGGUAAGAAUUUUUAACAGAAAGGUGAAAUUUGUAGAGUAGAGGUGGAAUACCGGCAGCGAACGUGUGCAACUAGUGAAAUUGACACUUAGGAACGACAGUUUAGGAAGCGAAAGGGAUUAGAUACCCCUGUAGUCUGAACCAUAAAUGAUGGUGAUUAAAUUUUUAUAUUUUCCGCUAUUUUGUUUUAUAGAGUUGAAGCUAACGCGUUAAGUCGCCCGCCUGGGAAGUACGUUCGCAAGAAUGAAACUUAAACGAAUUGACGGGGGCCUGCACAAGCGGUGGAGCGUGUGGUUUAAUUCGAUGCAACGCGAAGAACCUUACCAAAUCUAUUUUCAGGUGGUGCAUGGUUAUCGUCAGCUCGUGUCGUGAGAUGUUAGAUUAAGUUCUGCAACGAGCGCAACCCUUGUUUUUUGUUGUUUUAUUUAUUAUGAGAUCAAAAAAGACAGUUAGUGAAAAUCUUAAGGAAGGUGGGGAUGACGUUAAAUCAGCAUGCCCCUUAUGUUUUGGGCUAUACACGCGCUACAAUGGAAAAAUACAAUCUUGGCAAAAUUAAUCUUAGUUCGGAUGCUUCUCUGAAACUUGUGAAGCUGAAGUUGGAAUCGCUAGUAAUCGCUAGUCAGAUUUAUGGCGGUGAAUCUGUUCUCAGGCCUUGUACACACCGCCCGUCACACCAUGAGAGUUGAUUUUUCUUGAAGAGUAACAAUGAAACAAGUCGCAAAAUAAUUCAUCUAGCUUUAGGGAAGUUCCGGCUAUUAGGGUGAAGUCGUAACAAGGUAGAUGUACUGGAAGGUGCGUCUAGAUCUUAGAGUAA
rnacentral:rRNA from 1 species